GACCAAUGACUGUCUGUCGAACACUACAUACACCAAUAACCAUUAAACGUGCAAUAUUUAAUCCAAUCAUAUAAUACAUCUUUAAUGUGUUAUAUGUUGUAUACACGCUAUGACAUAUGAUCAAAAUCUGGAGAAGAUAUACUAAGCAAUGACUAAGAUAUUAAUUUAUAUUCAUUGAUGUUUGCAUGCUUGUUCAUGAAUCAUGACCUGUUGUACUUCAUUUGAUAGAUAUGUCAAUGUUCAGAGAGGGUAUGGGGUGGUCAAAAUAAUAGAGUACUUGUCAGCACAACGCAAUACAAUUAAACAGCACUACAAACUGCUGCCUCCAUAAUGAACACACAGUUUAAUCUACAGCUCUCAAAAUUAGUUUAAACUAAUUCAGAAUAUUAUAACCUUCAUAAAGCAAGGAUGUAUUGAAGGACUGGUGUAUUAGACUACACUACCUUAAGCUAUAAAUACUUGGUCAUGUUAUAUCCAGCCAUUUCUUCCAGCUUAUUUUCAUGAAAUAAAGACUUCUCAAACAAGUGCUUGGUUUGUUUUGUCUGGUUUUACAGGUCUGCAGAAUUUAACAGAACAGGCCUCAAGGAACACAAUGCCACAAUGAAUGACUUCAGCAUACAGAGAUCCUCCACCUGAAGACUGGCACCUAUCUUCCUGCAAUGACCCAACACUAAAUGUCUGUCAUCGAAAUGAAGAGUUUUUAUUUAUUUAUUAUUAACACAGUACAAAUAAACUACACUGUCAUAGUUCUGCAAUGUUGUCUAUGGAAUAUAGACUAUGGUCUAUGGAAUAGUGUUGGUGUUUCCAAGGUGUCAGCCAAGUUACUUCGAAACGGAGGUGGUAACAUAUAUCAGAGAUAGUUUGAUUACCAAAGAAAAAUGAAUUUAAAUGAAUUGAUAUUGGGGAAAAGUAUCGAUAGUAUACGUUAUGUGAAUAAACCAAGUGUUUUGGUCAAUUGUUGGUCAAGCGUUAUUUUCGGUCUCACGUAAAAACACGUUAGUUACAUUUUCUUAAUCUACCGACCGAGUGAAUAUCAGCAACAGUUGUAUUUAAAUCAUAUUGCAGGUUUGUUCUUGCACGUUAACUUGUUUUCGCCACUUGAGUAUUGUUCAUUUGUCACUAUUUCCUGCUAUUUUUCACGGCCAGAGCACGAUGACAGACACUACUUCCCUGUUACUAUACGGUUUAUCGACAUUACUUGUCGCUUGGCCGAAAGCAUAGCGCUACGACCAGCUGUGUUCAGCGAUUGAUAGAAAGUUACGGAGACACGGAACAAAUGUUGAUCAUUUCUAAAUUAAGGACAUAAUGGACCGAAUAGAAAAGCAUAUCGCCCGAACAGGGACUUGAACCCUGGACCCUCAGAUUAAAAGUCUGAUGCUCUACCGACUGAGCUAUCCGGGCUCUGCGAACGCUUAGGCUACGACCAGAUAUGUUCAGCGAAUGCUAGAAAGUUACUGUGCCACGGAAGAAACUUACCUAAGAGUUGAGGACAUAAUCGACCGAAUAGGAAAAUCAUGCCGCCCGAACAGGGACUUGAACCCUGGACCCUCAGAUUAAAAGUCUGAUGCUCUACCGACUGAGCUAUCCGGGCUCUGACAGAGAGACGUGAUCACAUGACAUUUCACGCGCACCUUCAGUGCGUAUAUGCUAGUUGAUCAGUUCUAGUUCUUCUCAGUUACACCAAUGGUGUCUAACUCCUGGCGUCCAGAAAUCCUUGUUAGUUGACCAAUUUAGUAGUUAAUUUAUCUUCAAACAAUCCAAAAAGCAAAAAAAAAAACACACUGAUAUAGCAAUGCCGCUAACCCAUGGCAGUAGACGUCCCUUGUAGCCGGAUAAUUGGCUAAACAGCAAGCCUAGUGGCGCUUCUUCACCUAUGAGAUUCGUGUCUUUACUUAGGGCAAUACAUCAACUG
ensembl:lncRNA